UUGUUAUUCGUACAGGACGAGAGGAGUCUCCAUACGAGGAGAACCACGAGCGACGUCAGGAUUGACCGCAUAUUAUUGCAGUACUGUUGCUCGGUGUACGAGGGUGAGCCAUAGUGACCGUACCUGCUUCCGCCAUCACAUUCUGCACUAUGGCUCGUAAUCGCCGAGCACGUAGGGAAACUCCUCCUAUUGAAGAUGAUGAACAGAUGCCUAGGAGGUUUGCGGAUACUUUUGGGCAGUUCUUUCGACAGAUUGCUGCAGCGCUUCCCGGG